rnacentral:rRNA from 1 species
UACGGAGGGGGCUAGCGUUGUUCGGAAUUACUGGGCGUAAAGGGCGUGUAGGCGGUUUGUCAAGUCAGGCGUGAAAGCCCCGGGCUUAACCUGGGAGGUGCGUUUGAUACUGACAAACUUGAGGUCGGGAGAGGAAAGUAGAAUUCCCAGUGUAGAGGUGAAAUUCGUAGAUAUUGGGAGGAAUACCAGUGGCGAAGGCGGCUUUCUGGACCGAAUCUGACGCUGAGGCGCGAAAGCGUGGGGAGCGAACAGG